UCUAUUGUAAUUAGCUUACACAAUCGUAUCACAUUGCUUUAUGGCAAAAAAAAGUGGGCAAUUUGCUUAAUACAUAUGAAACUUUGAUAGAGAUCAUCUUUUAUGAAGAACUCUUUCUAGAGAGUUAGAGAGAGAGAGAGAGAGAGAGGAAAGAGUUCUAGAAUUGAGAAGGAAAGCUAGAGAUUUGGAAGAGAUUCAAGGAAAAAAUUCCUAGAUUUGAGCUAAGAUCGCUCAUGCAGCUGCGAGCUCCACACAAGCGGAACAUGAACCAAAACAAGGGAAUGCAUUCUGCUUGCUCGAGUGGCUAACACUUCCGCACGAGCGGAACAUGACCGCUCGAGCGGUGAGGCCUUCCACAUGAACGGACAGCAUGGGGAAAAUUCUGCUUUCUUUUUGUUGACCUUUCUGACCUUCUGAACGCAUUUUUGACCUUAUGUAAACACUCUGGAAAAUGAAGUGAUGAUUAGAAACCCAUUGAAAAAUGAUGUGAAUCAUUAAAAAAAAGUGUACGAAAUGGAACGUAUUAUUUAUCAAAUGUGUAUGUGUGAAAUGUUGUGUAGGUCGUGUGUCAGAGGGAACGGCGCAAGACCAAACGCACUGUGGUCAGCAGGGAGAUCAGCCUUAGAAUUAGCCUCAAGAACUGUCUAUGUGGACCUGUUAUACCAAACCUCCAAGAUGGAGCUUUUAUCUUUUUGGUGUUAUAAUUUAUGUUUAAGUCUUUUGUUUGCUUUUUGUCAAAUGGGUUUGUGUAUAUGUAAACUUAAUAUUA